AGGACGACGCUGGCGGCGUGCCUAACACAUGCAAGUCGAGCGGGGUUGAGGCGAGAGGUAACUCGAGCUUCUACCUAGCGGCGGACGGGUGAGUAACGCGUGGGCAACCUGCCUCAAGGUUUGGGAUAACAGCCCGAAAGGGCUGCUAAUACCGGAUAUGCCUAUGGCCUCGCAUGGGGCUAUGAGCAAAGGGGAAACCCGCCUUGAGAUGGGCCCGCGUCCCAUCAGCUAGUUGGUGAGGUAACAGCUCACCAAGGCGACGACGGGUAGCCGGGCCUGAGAGGGUGACCGGGCCACACUGGGACUGAGACACGGCCCAGACUCCUACGGGGGGCAGCAGUGGGGGAUCUUGCACAAUGGGCGAAAGCCUGAUGCAGCGACGCCGCGUGAGCGAAGAAGGCCUUCGGGUUGUAAAGCUCUGUCUGGAGGGACGAACAAAAUGACGGUACCUCCGGAGGAAGCCACGGCUAACUACGUG
rnacentral:rRNA from 1 species